AGGGAAUCUUCGGCAAUGGACGGAAGUCUGACCGAGCAACGCCGCGUGAGUGAAGAAGGUUUUCGGAUCGUAAAGCUCUGUUGUAAGAGAAGAACGAGUGUGAGAGUGGAAAGUUCACACUGUGACGGUAUCUUACCAGAAAGGGACGGCUAACUACGUGCCAGCGGCCGCGGUAAUACGUAGGUCCCGAGCGUUGUCCGGAUUUAUUGGGCGUAAAGCGAGCGCAGGCGGUUAGAUAAGUCUGAAGUUAAAGGCUGUGGCUUAACCAUAGUAGGCUUUGGAAACUGUUUAACUUGAGUGCAAGAGGGGAGAGUGGAAUUCCAUGUGUAGCGGUGAAAUGCGUAGAUAUAUGGAGGAACACCGGUGGCGAAAGCGGCUCUCUGGCUUGUAACUGACGCUGAGGCUCGAAAGCGUGGGGAGCAAACAGGAUUAGAUACCCUGGUAGUCCACGCCGUAAACGAUGAGUGCUAGGUGUUAGCCCCUUUCCGGGGUUUAGUGCCGUAGCUAACGCAUUAAGCACUCCGCCUGGGGAGUACGACCGCAAGGUUG
rnacentral:rRNA from 1 species